rnacentral:rRNA from 1 species
GAAUUAAGCAUAUCAAUAAGCGGAGGAAAAGAAACUAACAAGGAUGCGCUUAGUAACGGCGAGCGAACCGCGCAAAGCCCAACUUGAAAAUCUCCCUUGGAGAAUUGUAGUCUAUAGAAGUACCCUCUGCAACGGGCUGAGCUAAAGUCUCCUGGAAAGGGGCGUCAGAGAGGGUGAGAACCCCGUAAGCUCACGCUUUGUUGCCUCACGAGGUGCUUUCAAAGAGUCGGGUUGCUUGGGAAUGCAGCCCAAAUUUGGUGGUAAAUCCCAUCUAAGGCUAAAUAUUGGCGAGAGACCGAUAGCGAACAAGUACCGUGAGGGAAAGAUGAAAAGAACUUUGAAAAGAGAGUUAAAAAGUGCUUGAAAUUGUUGAGGGGGAAGCGUUUGAAUGCUAGGGUGCGCCUAGGCUUAUGGGUCCUUAACGGGGCUCUGUAUGUGCUAGGUGCUGGCCAGCAUGGGUUAGGCUAGUGGGAUAAAAGCUGGGGUUGAUACCCGGUCUAUGCCACUGGCUUGACCAAGGCGUGAAGACUGCCCUUGUCCUUCGGGAACUGCAGUCUCAAGAUGCUGGCAAAAGGCUUUCAACCGACCCGUCUUGAA